UAAGACGAACCGUGCGAACGUUGUUCGGAAUCACUGGGCUUAAAGGGCGCGUAGGCGGCUUAUCAAGUCAGGGGUGAAAUCUUUCGGCUCAACCGGAAAAGUGCCUUUGAUACUGAUAGGCUCGAGGGAGGUAGGGGUAUGUGGAACUUCCGGUGGAGCGGUGAAAUGCGUUGAUAUCGGAAGGAACGCCGGUGGCGAAAGCGACGUACUGGACCUCUUCUGACGCUGAGGCGCGAAAGCUAGGGGAGCAAACGGGAUUAGAUACCCCGGUAGUCCUAGCCCUAAACGAUGGGUACUAGGUUGUGGACUUGACAUGGGUUCACAGCCGAAGCAAAAGUAUUAAGUACCCCGCCUGGGGAGUAUGGUCGCAAGGCUG
rnacentral:rRNA from 1 species